rnacentral:rRNA from 1 species
AGCGAACGUUAGCGGCAGGCCUAACACAUGCAAAGUCGUGCGAGAAAGAGGGGUUCGCCCCUCGAGUAAAGCGGCGCACGGGUGAGUAACACGUGGAUAAUCUGCCCUUCGGUGGGGGACAACAACCCCGAAAAGGGUUGCUAAUACCGCAUUCGUCGGCGAGCUCCGUGGAGCACGUCGGGAAAGGUGCCCUCUACUUGUAAGGUACCGCCGAAGGAGGAGUCCGCGUCCCAUCAGCUAGUUGGUAGGGUAACGGCCUACCAAGGCAAAGACGGGUAGCUGGUCUGAGAGGAUGAUCAGCCACACUGGGACUGAGACACGGCCCAGACUCCUACGGGAGGCAGCAGUGGGGAAUAUUGGACAAUGGCGCAAGCCUGAUCCAGCCAUGCCGCGUGAGUGAUGAAGGCCCUCGGGUCGUAAAGCUCUGUGGAGAGGGAAGAAUCCGUUCAGCAUCAGAUCCUGAACGUUGACGGUACCUCUUUAGCAAGCACCGGCUAACUCCGUGCCAGCAGCCGCGGUAA